rnacentral:rRNA from 1 species
CCUACGGGGGGCAGCAGUGGGGAAUAUUGCACAAUGGGCGCAAGCCUGAUGCAGCCAUGCCGCGUGUGUGAAGAAGGCCUUCGGGUUGUAAAGCACUUUCAGCGGGGAGGAAGGCGGUGAGGUUAAUAACCUCAUCGAUUGACGUUACCCGCAGAAGAAGCACCGGCUAACUCCGUGCCAGCAGCCGCGGUAAUACGGCGGGUGCAAGCGUUAAUCGGAAUUACUGGGCGUAAAGCGCACGCAGGCGGUCUGUCAAGUCGGAUGUGAAAUCCCCGGGCUCAACCUGGGAACUGCAUUCGAAACUGGCAGGCUAGAGUCUUGUAGAGGGGGGUAGAAUUCCAGGUGUAGCGGUGAAAUGCGUAGAGAUCUAGAGGAAUACCGGUGGCGAAGGCGGCCCCCUGGACAAAGACUGACGCUCAGGUGCGAAAGCGUGGGGAGCAAACAGGAUUAGAUACCCGGGUAGUC